CUCGACGUCGCCUCGGCCGCGCCCCUUCCGCAAGGCAGCUCGGCCAAUCGGAGCUCCCGCCGGAAGGGCCUCGCGCCGUUUUGGCGAAAGGAGAGUGCAUCGUGCGCGGUCAGCCGGCGGGCGGGCAGGUAGCCACCAUGAGCGGAGGCCUGGGAGGGAUGACGGCGGAGCAGCUCUUACAGCAGAGGCUUCUCCGGAGCCGCCUGCGAGGCGCGCAGCACCCGGGCCUGGGCAUCGGAGGCCCGAUGCCGCCGUCACUGCUGCAGCCCGGCCCGCCAUGCCUGCUCUCUCCUCCGGAGCCACCCGACUCUCCGCCGCCCGGCACGACGCCCGCCGAGAUCCCCGCCGGCCCGCGUUACCCGAGCGAGACCUGGUGCUCCUUGUGCCGCGUCUACUGCCCGGAUCCGGUGUGCCUUCCCUGCGGGCACAACUUCUGCACCGCCUGCAUCGGGCAGCGCCUGGGCGAGCCCAAGAUCAACAUCUCCUGCCUGGAGUGCGGCGCCAGCGCCCGCAAGAGGAACCUCCGGCCCAUCAAGCCGCCGUCGCUGCUGGCCAAUUUGGUGCUGGAGAGGCCCAAGCGGCAGAGGCUCGACUCCUUCACCGGAGCGGCGGCGGCAGCGGCGGCAACAGCCACACUAGUCCCCCCGGCGAGCGCAGCAGUAGCACCAGCGGCGCCACCGGCGCCGGCUGUGACUACCCCGACAAUUGUCCCUCCGGCGCCCGUCGUCUCAACGCCCGCCACCCCACCGCCUCCGUCCCCAACGCCGCCGCCGGCCACCCCUCCGCUGCUUCCUCAGGCGCCGUCCCCGGCCGCCCCCUCCACGCCGCCCCCGGCCCCUCUGCCCGUCGCCUCCCCCACCGGGAGAAGGGCGCCCGUGGCCCUGGGAGGGGCUGGAGACGGGAGCGGGGAGAGGUUGUGCGAGAUCCACCAGGACGUGCUGCAGUUCUUCUGCGAGGAGGACCAGACGCCCAUCUGCGCGCACUGCGACCGAUCCCAGGAGCACCGCGCUCAUACCAUCUUCCACGUGGAGAGGGCGGCCCGGGAUUACAGGGUAAGGAGGAGCCAGGGGGUCCUCUUGUCUAAACGCCCCCCCUCUUCCUUUUAUUUUCUUUAAAAAAUAAUUUAUUAUGUUUUUGCUGUGGAAAAUUAGAUAUAGGGAAUGCCGGACGGAAAUAGCAUCUAUUAAAAUUGUGGUUUCCAGUUCAGGAUAUACGUUUUCCCCAAAUGUUCCUCAUUUAAUAGAGCC
rnacentral:lncRNA from 1 species